rnacentral:rRNA from 1 species
UACAGAGGGUGCAAACGUUGCUCGGAAUCAUUGGGCGUAAAGCGCACGUAGGCGGCUUAGCAAGUCGGAAGUGAAAUCCCACGGCUCAACCAUGGAAGUGCUUUCGAAACUGCUGAGCUUGAGUACGAAAGAGGAUCGCGGAAUUCCCGGUGUAGAGGUGAAAUUCGUAGAUAUCGGGAGGAACACCAGUGGCGAAGGCGGCGAUCUGGGUCGAUACUGACGCUGAGGUGCGAAAGCGUGGGGAGCAAACAGG